rnacentral:rRNA from 1 species
UGGGGAAUAUUGCACAAUGGGCGAAAGCCUGAUGCAGCGACGCCGCGUGCGGGAUGAAGGCCUUCGGGUUGUUAAACCGCUUUUAAUUGGGAGCAAGCGAGAGUGAGUGUACCUUUUGAAUAAGCACCGGCUAACUACGUGCCAGCAGCCGCGGUAAUACGUAGGGUGCAAGCGUUAUCCGGAAUUAUUGGGCGUAAAGAGCUCGUAGGCGGUUUGUCACGCCUGGUGUGAAAAGUCCAUCGCUUAACGGUGGAUCUGCGCCGGGUACGGGCAGGCUAGAGUGCAGUAGGGGAGAUUGGAAUU